AAUAAAUAUGUUUUACAAUGAUAUUUAUAUUAAAACACUACACUUAUAAGCAAAUAUAUAAUAUAUAUAAAGCCUCUAUUAUACUAUGCGUAUCUCAAUUUUUAUUUCAGCAAUAUAAAUCUUUUAAAAGAAAAAUCUAUUAACAAAUUUGUAAUGGUUGCGCACUCUAUUCUUGAGAUGUAACUAUUAAUGGAAGAAACAGUAACAAUGUUUCAAAAGAUAAGAAAAGAAUUCAAUAUUAAUUUACAUUUAACGGAUAUUGAAAAUCCAAUUUCUUGGAAACACUUGCGGUUUUAUGCGGCCAUUCGAACGGCCCGAAUUGUGCAGUAAAUUACAGCGUCACUCGUCAAGUAUUUCGGGAAAGCGGGACCAACGUGAAUGGCUUCAUGGUACAAUUGGAAAGCGCCAGAGAACGGAACUUCAAUCACUCACAUGAUAUAGCUACACUACUAUAAACUACAAGCCUAAAAACUAAAUUAUAUAUUACAAAAAAAUUGUAUUAGGUUGUCCGAAAAGUGUCUUUCUUUUACAGACACGUCUUUUACAACAACGCAUCUUUAUACAAACAUGAAACCUAAUCUGUCAAACGUUGUAAUCUUUAUCUUGAUAAAACAAAGUGGAUCAUACGUAAUUCGAUAAAAUAAUACAAAACGGAAAAUGUUGUGCAUCCAUUAUUUCCUUAUAAAACGAAAGAAACUUUUCGGACAACCUAAUAGUAUCUAACAAAAUUUAUGAAUCCAUAAUUUAUUUAAUUUUGAUAUACUAUAAAAUACGUGAAUUAUUCUAUCAAAUGUGAUACAAUAAAAUUUCAACAAUAUUAAAAAUAAAAAAUAUUGCGAUC
rnacentral:misc_RNA from 1 species